GGGUUGUGAGGUUAAGCGACUAAGCGUACACGGUGGAUGCCCUGGCAGUCAGAGGCGAUGAAGGACGUGCUAAUCUGCGAUAAGCGUCGGUAAGGUGAUAUGAACCGUUAUAACCGGCGAUUUCCGAAUGGGGAAACCCAGUGUGAUUCGUCACACUAUCAUUAACUGAAUCCAUAGGUUAAUGAGGCGAACCGGGGGAACUGAAACAUCUAAGUACCCCGAGGAAAAGAAAUCAACCGAGAUUCCCCCAGUAGCGGCGAGCGAACGGGGAGCAGCCCAGAGCCUGAAUCAGUGUGUGUGUUAGUGGAAGCGUCUGGAAAGGCGUGCGAUACAGGGUGACAGCCCCGUACACAAAAAUGCACAUACUGUGAGCUCGAUGAGUAGGGCGGGACACGUGGUAUCCUGUCUGAAUAUGGGGGGACCAUCCUCCAAGGCUAAAUACUCCUGACUGACCGAUAGUGAACCAGUACCGUGAGGGAAAGGCGAAAAGAACCCCGGCGAGGGGAGUGAAAAAGAACCUGAAACCGUGUACGUACAAGCAGUGGGAGCACGCUUAGGCGUGUGACUGCGUACCUUUUGUAUAAUGGGUCAGCGACUUAUAUUCUGUAGCAAGGUUAACCGAAUAGGGGAGCCGAAGGGAAACCGAGUCUUAACUGGGCGUUAAGUUGCAGGGUAUAGACCCGAAACCCGGUGAUCUAGCCAUGGGCAGGUUGAAGGUUGGGUAACACUAACUGGAGGACCGAACCGACUAAUGUUGAAAAAUUAGCGGAUGACUUGUGGCUGGGGGUGAAAGGCCAAUCAAACCGGGAGAUAGCUGGUUCUCCCCGAAAGCUAUUUAGGUAGCGCCUCGUGAAUUCAUCUCCGGGGGUAGAGCACUGUUUCGGCAAGGGGGUCAUCCCGACUUACCAACCCGAUGCAAACUGCGAAUACCGGAGAAUGUUAUCACGGGAGACACACGGCGGGUGCUAACGUCCGUCGUGAAGAGGGAAACAACCCAGACCGCCAGCUAAGGUCCCAAAGUCAUGGUUAAGUGGGAAACGAUGUGGGAAGGCCCAGACAGCCAGGAUGUUGGCUUAGAAGCAGCCAUCAUUUAAAGAAAGCGUAAUAGCUCACUGGUCGAGUCGGCCUGCGCGGAAGAUGUAACGGGGCUAAACCAUGCACCGAAGCUGCGGCAGCGACGCUUAUGCGUUGUUGGGUAGGGGAGCGUUCUGUAAGCCUGUGAAGGUGUGCUGUGAGGUAUGCUGGAGGUAUCAGAAGUGCGAAUGCUGACAUAAGUAACGAUAAAGCGGGUGAAAAGCCCGCUCGCCGGAAGACCAAGGGUUCCUGUCCAACGUUAAUCGGGGCAGGGUGAGUCGACCCCUAAGGCGAGGCCGAAAGGCGUAGUCGAUGGGAAACAGGUUAAUAUUCCUGUACUUGGUGUUACUGCGAAGGGGGGACGGAGAAGGCUAUGUUGGCCGGGCGACGGUUGUCCCGGUUUAAGCGUGUAGGCUGGUUUUCCAGGCAAAUCCGGAAAAUCAAGGCCGAGGCGUGAUGACGAGGCACUACGGUGCUGAAGCAACAAAUGCCCUGCUUCCAGGAAAAGCCUCUAAGCAUCAGGUAACAUCAAAUCGUACCCCAAACCGACACAGGUGGUCAGGUAGAGAAUACCAAGGCGCUUGAGAGAACUCGGGUGAAGGAACUAGGCAAAAUGGUGCCGUAACUUCGGGAGAAGGCACGCUGAUACGUAGGUGAAGCGACUUGCUCGUGGAGCUGAAAUCAGUCGAAGAUACCAGCUGGCUGCAACUGUUUAUUAAAAACACAGCACUGUGCAAACACGAAAGUGGACGUAUACGGUGUGACGCCUGCCCGGUGCCGGAAGGUUAAUUGAUGGGGUUAGCGCAAGCGAAGCUCUUGAUCGAAGCCCCGGUAAACGGCGGCCGUAACUAUAACGGUCCUAAGGUAGCGAAAUUCCUUGUCGGGUAAGUUCCGACCUGCACGAAUGGCGUAAUGAUGGCCAGGCUGUCUCCACCCGAGACUCAGUGAAAUUGAACUCGCUGUGAAGAUGCAGUGUACCCGCGGCAAGACGGAAAGACCCCGUGAACCUUUACUAUAGCUUGACACUGAACAUUGAGCCUUGAUGUGUAGGAUAGGUGGGAGGCUUUGAAGUGUGGACGCCAGUCUGCAUGGAGCCGACCUUGAAAUACCACCCUUUAAUGUUUGAUGUUCUAACGUGGACCCGUGAUCCGGGUUGCGGACAGUGUCUGGUGGGUAGUUUGACUGGGGCGGUCUCCUCCUAAAGAGUAACGGAGGAGCACGAAGGUUGGCUAAUCCUGGUCGGACAUCAGGAGGUUAGUGCAAUGGCAUAAGCCAGCUUGACUGCGAGCGUGACGGCGCGAGCAGGUGCGAAAGCAGGUCAUAGUGAUCCGGUGGUUCUGAAUGGAAGGGCCAUCGCUCAACGGAUAAAAGGUACUCCGGGGAUAACAGGCUGAUACCGCCCAAGAGUUCAUAUCGACGGCGGUGUUUGGCACCUCGAUGUCGGCUCAUCACAUCCUGGGGCUGAAGUAGGUCCCAAGGGUAUGGCUGUUCGCCAUUUAAAGUGGUACGCGAGCUGGGUUUAGAACGUCGUGAGACAGUUCGGUCCCUAUCUGCCGUGGGCGCUGGAGAACUGAGGGGGGCUGCUCCUAGUACGAGAGGACCGGAGUGGACGCAUCACUGGUGUUCGGGUUGUCAUGCCAAUGGCACUGCCCGGUAGCUAAAUGCGGAAGAGAUAAGUGCUGAAAGCAUCUAAGCACGAAACUUGCCCCGAGAUGAGUUCUCCCUGACCCUUUAAGGGU
rnacentral:rRNA from 1 species